rnacentral:rRNA from 1 species
UACGUAGGGGGGCAAGCGUUGUCCGGAUUUAUUGGGCGUAAAGAGCGUGUAGGCGGUUUGGUAGGUCCGCUGUGAAAACUCGAGCUCAACCUCGAGACGCCGGUGGAAACCAUCAGACUAGAGUCCGGAAGAGGAGAGUGGAAUUCCGUGGUGUAGCGGUGAAAUGACGCAGAUAUCAGGAAGAACACCCGUGGCUAAGGCGGCUCUCUAGUACGGUACUGACGCUGAGACGCGAAAGCGUGGGUAGCAAACAGG